AAAACUUACCAGGUCAAGACAUGGGCGUGAUUGACAGGCUAAUGACUUUUCUCGAUUCCAUGGAUGGUGGUGCAUGGUCGCACUUAGUUGGUGCAGUGAUUUGUCAGGUUUAUUCCGGUAACGAACGAGACCUCGGCCUUGUAAAUAGCUAUACUGCUUACAGGGACAUUGGCGGCUACGCCAAGGAAGCUCGAGGCAAUUGCAGAUCUGGAAUGCCCUUAGAUGUCCUGGGUCGCACGCGUGCUACAAUGACGCCACGAACGAGCUUGCGUGAUGAAAGUUACGCAUAAUCAGCAGUCGGCGUCUUAAGGGAUAGUCUCUUGUAACUGUGGGACUCCAACUAGGAAUGUCUCGUAAGCACAAGUCAACAUCUUGUGUUGAUUACGUCCCUGCUCUUUGUACACACCGCCCGUCGCUCCUACCGAUCGAGUGUUUAGGUGAAUUUGAUGGACGUAAGGAAGUCAAAUAAACCUGAGCACUAGAGAAGAGAAGUCUACAUC
rnacentral:rRNA from 1 species